rnacentral:rRNA from 1 species
GUUUCCGUAGGUGAACCUGCGUGAAGGAUC